CCUACGGGUGGCUGCAGUGGGGAAUAUUGGACAAUGGGGGGAACCCUGAUCCAGCCAUGCCGCGUGUGUGAAGAAGGCCCUCGGGUUGUAAAGCACUUUCAGUGAGGAAGAACGCCUGGUGGUUAAUACCCAUCAGGAAAGACAUCACUCACAGAAGAAGCACCGACUAACUCCGUGCCAGCAGCCGCGGUAAUACGGAGGGUGCGAGCGUUAAUCGGAAUUACUGGGCGUAAAGCGCGCGUAGGUGGCUUGAUAAGCCGGUUGUGAAAGCCCCGGGCUCAACCUGGGAACGGCAUCCGGAACUGUCAAGCUAGAGUGCAGGAGAGGAAGGUAGAAUUCCCGGUGUAGCGGUGAAAUGCGUAGAGAUCGGGAGGAAUACCAGUGGCGAAGGCGGCCUUCUGGACUGACACUGACACUGAGGUGCGAAAGCGUGGGUAGCAAACAGGAUUAGAUACCCGAGUAGUC
rnacentral:rRNA from 1 species